rnacentral:rRNA from 1 species
UACGGAGGCCUCGAGCGUUGUUCGGAAUCACUGGGCUUAAAGCGCGUGUAGGCGGAGCGGUAAGUACUUUGUGAAAUCCCCGGCUUCAAUCCGGGAACUGCUAGGUAUACUGUCGCUCUUGAGGCAGGUAGGGGUCACUGGAACCUUAGGUGGAGCGGUGAAAUGCGUAGAUAUCUAAGGGAACGCCUGUGGCGAAAGCGGGUGACUGGGCCUGUCCUGACGCUGAGACGCGAAAGCGUAGGGAGCAAACGGG